AUGCGCUGGCAAAGUUACUCACUCCGUUCUCUCACCUCCCCGUGCCACCACAGCCGCCGCCUCCCCCACCAACCUGCCCCGAUCCGCUCCCGACCUCCGAGGCAAUCAGCGUCCGCCGCGGCCGCCAUGGCGUUCGAGAAGAUCAAGGUCGCCAACCCCAUCGUCGAGAUGGACGGCGAUGAGAUGACCAGAGUAUUCUGGCAGUCUAUCAAGGACAAGCUUAUCUUCCCAUUUUUGGACUUGGACAUUAAGUACUUUGACUUGGGAGUUCUACACCGCGAUGCAACUGAUGACAAGGUUACAGUGGAGGCUGCAGAGGCUACUCUCAAGUACAAUGUGGCUAUUAAAUGUGCAACUAUUACUCCAGAUGAAGAUCGGGUUAAGGAGUUCAACCUAAAACAAAUGUGGAGGAGCCCAAAUGGCACAAUUAGGAACAUUAUAAACGGCACCGUGUUCAGAGAGCCAAUUAUAUGCAAGAAUGUCCCAAAGCUUGUUCCAGGAUGGACUAAGCCCAUCUGCAUUGGAAGGCAUGCUUUCGGUGAUCAGUACAGAGCAACUGAUGCAGUUCUCAAGGGACCUGGCAAACUCAGACUAGUGUUCGAGGGAAAAGACGAGACGGUUGACCUUGAGGUUUUUAACUUCACUGGUGCUGGAGGAGUCGCCAUGGCUAUGUACAACACAGAUGAGUCAAUUCGAGGUUUUGCUGAAGCUUCUAUGGCAAUCGCUUAUGAGAAGAAAUGGCCAUUGUACCUUAGCACAAAAAACACAAUCCUUAAGAAAUAUGAUGGCAGGUUCAAGGACAUUUUCCAGGAGAUCUAUGAAGCUGGCUGGAAAUCCAAAUAUGAGGCUGCUGGAAUAUGGUAUGAACAUCGUCUCAUUGAUGACAUGGUUGCCUAUGCACUUAAGAGCGAAGGAGGCUAUGUUUGGGCUUGCAAGAACUAUGACGGAGAUGUGCAGAGUGAUUUCUUAGCUCAAGGUUUUGGCUCUUUGGGCUUGAUGACGUCAGUAUUGAUGUGCCCUGAUGGUAAAACCAUCGAAGCUGAAGCUGCCCAUGGCACAGUUACCCGCCAUUUCCGUGUUCACCAGAAAGGUGGUGAAACCAGCACAAACAGCAUUGCUUCAAUCUUUGCUUGGACAAGAGGACUUGCACACAGGGCAAAGCUAGACGAGAAUGCUAGACUUCUUGAAUUUGCACAGAAACUUGAGGAAGCGUGCGUCGGAACUGUGGAGUCUGGGAAGAUGACCAAGGACCUUGCACUCCUUGUCCAUGGAUCCUCAAAAGUUACAAGAAGCGAUUACCUGAACACUGAAGAGUUCAUUGACGCUGUUGCUGCUGAGCUCAAAUCAAGACUGUGA
rnacentral:rRNA from 1 species